UACGUAGGGAGCAAGCGUUGUUCGGAUUUACUGGGCGUAAAGGGCGCGUAGGCGGCAAUUCAAGUCACUUGUGAAAUCUCCGGGCUCAACCCGGAAACUGCAUUGGAAACUACCUUGCUUGAGGGUUUGAGGGGGGACUGGAAUUCCCGGUGUAGUGGUGAUAUGCGUAGAUAUCGGGAGGAACACCAGUGGCGAAGGCGGCUCUCUGGGCCCUACCUGGACGCUGAGACGCGAAAGCGUGGGGAGCGAACCGGG
rnacentral:rRNA from 1 species